rnacentral:tRNA from 1 species
GCUUCCGUUGCGCAAUUGGUUAGCGCGUUCGGCUGUUAACCGAAAGGUUAGUGGUUCAUGCCCACCCGGGAGCG